AAAGGACGACGCUCUCACCAUUCACGAACGGCGACUGCGGAUCGAUCGUGCGUCGUCUCCUGCGCCGGCCUCCCUUCCAGUCAGGUUCAAACAAGGGACGAUACGCAUCGGACAAGAAAUGGACAUCAAAUCCUCCGAGAACUAAAGUUUCACUCAGAUCUUCGUCGACCUUUUGAGUUGCACAAUGUCUAUUUUGCAACAUAUGUAUAAUUAUAUAUGAUGACCUACUCAGCUCUUUGAAAACAAUUUAUGUAAAUAUAACAGCUUAAUUCUACGUAGUGGACAAAAAUGUUGACUCUGAUUACAGCUCAGAUAACUCUAUUUCAUAUAAACAUAUAGCAUCUGCAGUAAUUAAAUUAGAAAAAAUUUCUAACGCGCGCAGGGCGCGCGCCAGUGACUAGUAUUUGUUAGGUCCUCGCAGAUGCUAGCAAGAUGAUAGUGUUGUAGCAUGGAGGACCAUUGUCUCUAGUGUCUGAAAUACGAGACUGGCAUGCAGGUCGAUGUCUGAGCACAGAGCUCGGAAGAUGUGCGUAUCAACCAAUAGGCUGUGGCUGUGCCUGCAAGAUGCCCUGAAGGACGCGCUUCUUGAAAAGUCAGAACUGCAAAGGUGCGCAAACCAAACCUCUGAUUGAAUGCUUCCAUGGCUCAUAGUCCCUAGAUUCUUGUCUCUAUCUGAUAGCCCAUUGUUUACCAUUGUCCGUUCAUGUGUCAGCUUUGCUGCAUCUGAUCACAAUGAUCUCUCAGCUUGUUGUAACAUCGUCUUGACCAUUGUCCAUUGCGCUCAUAUCAGCUACAUACAUGGUUGAAAAACUUGUUAUAAAAAUGUGCCAUUUCAAACACGGAUUCGAUUGUAAUUUGAAAAGUUAAUUUAUACUGUAUUAUCUGAUGCAUCAUUCACUGGAGAAUGGGGGAUAACAGGAUUCGGGCUAAGAACAUCCAUUCUUUUCACCGUGUAUCUCUUUGCAAUCUCAGCCAUUCGAUCUACUAUACUAUCCAUAGAACAUAUUCCAAAGGAGAUAAGCAGCCGGUGCACGCCCCUUGGGAGCCAAAGGAAUAUAUCUGUGUGGGUAUAUGUAGCUUUUCAUCUCCAAUGAUCCUGGAAAGGGAAUUGACUACAUUCCAAUCUUUUCCCCUGCUUGUUCAUGAAAUUCACGAUGUCACAUGAUUUACCGCCACUUAGAUCUGUCAAAAGGCUGCCAUUUCUUCGUUCAGGUGUAUGGGCGUGGAAGGUUUGCAUCCAUCGGAUGUGUUGGACCAGCAUGUUGUAGUUUUGAUUCGUGCUGCGUGCAUCGAGCCAUCAGGAGAUCUCUGCAUCGGAAUCAUAUCUGCACAAAGCCGUCGGAAAGAUGCAGGAUUCCCACUGAUAUUUUGAACCAUCAUCCAGGAGGCUAGGUAUUAGAUUUUAUAUAUACGUGGUCUGUAUUUUGAUUAAUUAAAUCAAAUCAAU
rnacentral:lncRNA from 7 species